rnacentral:rRNA from 1 species
CCUGGCGGCGAUAGCGCGGUGGUCCCACCUGACCCCAUGCCGAACUCAGAAGUGAAACGCCGUAGCGCCGAUGGUAGUGUGGGGGUCUGGGGGGGGGGGUGUGAGUAGGGAAGGCCACUGGGG